rnacentral:rRNA from 1 species
UACGGAGGGUGCAAGCGUUGUUCGGAAUUACUGGGUUUAAAGGGUGCGUAGGUGGGUUGGUAAGUCAGUGGUGAAAUCCCCGAGCUUAACUUGGGAACUGCCAUUGAUACUAUUAAUCUUGAAUACCGUGGAGGUCGGCGGAAUAUGUCAUGUAGCGGUGAAAUGCUUAGAUAUGACAUAGAACACCAAUUGCGAAGGCAGCUGGCUACACGAGUAUUGACACUGAGGCACGAAAGCGUGGGGAUCAAACAGG